GACGAACGCUGGCGGCGUGCCUAAUACAUGCAAGUCGAGCGGACGGAUGGGAGCUUGCUCCCAGACCGUCAGCGGCGGACGGGUGAGUAACACGUGGGCAACCUGCCUGUAAGACUGGGAUAACUCCGGGAAACCGGGGCUAAUACCGGAUAACUCUUUCCCUCACAUGAGGGAAAGCUGAAAGAUGGCAUCUCGCUAUCACUUACAGCUGGGCCCGCGGCGCAUUAGCUAGUUGGUGAGGUAACGGCUCACCAAGGCGACGAUGCGUAGCCGACCUGAGAGGGUGAUCGGCCACACUGGGACUGAGACACGGCCCAGACUCCUACGGGAGGCAGCAGUAGGGAAUCUUCCGCAAAGGACGAAAGUCUGACGGAGCAACGCCGCGUGAGUGAUGAAGGUUUUCGGAUCGUAAAACUCUGUUGUCAGGGAAGAACAAGUACCGGAGUAACUGCCGGUACCUUGACGGUACCUGACCAGAAAGCCACGGCUAACUACGUG
rnacentral:rRNA from 1 species